rnacentral:rRNA from 1 species
CUAACACAUGCAAGUCUAACGGACGCAGCAAUGCGUCAGUGGCAGACGGGGAGUAACACGUGGGAACGUACCCUUCGGUUCGGAACAACCCAGGGAAACUGGGCUAAUACCGGAUACGUCCGUAAGGAGAAAGAUUUAUCGCCGAAGGACGGCCCGCGUCCGAUUAGCUUGUUGGUGAGGUAAUGGCUCACCAGGGCACGAUCGGUAGCUGGUCUACCAGGAUGAUCAGCCUCACUGGGACUGAGAACGGGCCAGACUCCUACGGGAGGCAGCAGUGGGGAAUAUUGGACAAUGGCGCAAGCCUGAUCCAGCCAUGCCGCGUGGGUGAUGAAGGCCCUACGGUUUAAAGCCCUUUCAGCGGGGAAGAUAAUGAGGGUACCCGCACAAGAAGCCCGGCUAA